AUACGGAGGGUGCGAGCGUUGUUCGGAAUCACUGGGCGUAAAGGGCGCGCAGGCGGUUUGUCAAGUCAGAUGUGAAAGGCCACGGCUCAACCGUGGAGGUGCAUCUGAAACUGGCAGACUUGAGUACCGGAGGGGAAAGUGGAAUUCCCGGUGUAGAGGUGAAAUUCGUAGAUAUCGGGAGGAACACCGGAGGCGAAGGCGACUUUCUGGACGGAUUCUGACGCUGAGGCGCGAAAGCGUGGGGAGCAAACAGGAUUAGAAACCCCAGUAGUCC
rnacentral:rRNA from 1 species